GACGAACGCUGGCGGCGUGCCUAAUACAUGCAAGUAGGACGCAGUUGCGAACGGGAGAGUAACGCGUAGGUAACUACCUAUUAGAGGGGGAUAACUAUUGGAAACGCUAGCUAAUACCGCAUACUAGUAGAUGGACCUGGGUUGUAUUAGCUAGUAGGUCGGGUAAUGGCCUACCUAGGCAACGAUACAUAGCCGACGUGAGAGGGUGAACGGGCACACUGGGAAUGAGACACGGCCCAGACUCCGACGGGAGGCAGCAGUAGGGAAUCUUCGGCAAUGGGGGGAACGCUGACCGAGGAACGCCGCGGGAGUGAAGAAGGUUUUCGGGUCGGAAAGCUCUGUUAUUAAGGAAGCGGUACUUAACCAGAAAGGGACGGCUAACUACGUGCCAGCAGCCGCGGUAAUUC
rnacentral:rRNA from 1 species